rnacentral:piRNA from 1 species
UGGAGUUACAGACCCUUGAUAUGGGUAGUGUA